rnacentral:tRNA from 1 species
UCCCUGGUGGUCUAGUGAUUAGGAUUCAGGGCUUUCACUGCUGCGGCCCAGGUUCAAUCCCUGUUCUGGGAA